ACAGCUCAAAUUUGAAAUCUGGCUCCUUUGGAGUCCGAGUUGUAAUUUGUAGAAGAUGCUUUGGGUUGUGGGUUCGGCCUAAGUUCCUUGGAAUAGGACGUCAUAGAGGGUGAGAAUCCCGUAUGUGGCCGAGGCCUGCGCCUGUGUAAAGCUCUUUCGACGAGUCGAGUUGUUUGGGAAUGCAGCUCAAAAUGGGUGGUAAAUUUCAUCUAAAGCUAAAUAUGGGCCAGAGACCGAUAGCGCACAAGUAGAGUGAUCGAAAGAUGAAAAGCACUUUGGAAAGAGAGUUAAACAGUACGUGAAAUUGUUGAAAGGGAAGCGUUUGCAACCAGACUUGGGCACUGCCGAUCACCCUGAGUUCUCUCAGGUGCACUCGACAGCGCACAGGCCAGCAUCGGUUCGGGUGGCUGGAUAAAGGCCGUAGGAACGUAGCUCCCCUCGGGGAGUGUUAUAGCCUACGGUGCCAUGCAGCCCAGCCGGACCGAGGACCGCGCCUUCGGGCUAGGAUGCUGGCGUAAUGGUUGUAAGCGACCCG
rnacentral:rRNA from 1 species